rnacentral:lncRNA from 1 species
UUUUAAUAGUGUAAAUGCAUUCUCAAGUUCUUUGUUAUUACACUGACUGUGUACAAUGCGGUUUGACUGUUCAUAUCAUCCUACUACAAUCUGAAGCCUAAAUAGCAGUUGCGGAUCCAGGGGUUGGGGGCUGGAGGAUGUUCCGUGGGUUGGAACCCCUUUUUUGGACGAUCAAUGCAUUUAAAUGCUUUUAUCCUGGGUUGAGACCCACUUUUUUAAAAUGACAGAAUCCGCCUCUGAAUAAGUAGCGUAGAGUUUGUUUUUGUUUUGAAUGUACAAUGAUCUCUCAAAUCUAUUAUCGUUCACUUGAAUAUAUCCAAAUAAACAUUAAAACUGAAGUAGUCUUUUUGAAAGAUUCUACCAUUUAUAAUUGCGAGUUUGUUCAAAUUGAUCAUAUGAUUUUCUGGUAGCUGGCAUGCACGGUCAAUAUUACUUAAUAAAAGCCUAUGUUUGAAAAGUUUGGUUAUCCACAUUUAGUUACAUUUGUUUUUGUAUAAACGAUUUUACCAGUAAAACAUCUUCGGCAAACAACGGACAACUGAUAAAAAUCUUUCGGUUUUAUGCAUUCAUUUUUACCUUCAAUAAGAACAAUGAUCUUAAAAUGAGUGUAUAUAGUUUGUUCAAAGCAUGAUGCAAUGUUGUUCAUAAUUGCAUGAUGCAAUGCUGUUCAUAGUUAGGAAAAUAAAACAAAAUUUCCCGUUGAUGUGCGCCGGAGCUCUAGGAAUAAAUUGAUUAAAAAAUAAGGUAAAGGUAAGGUAUACAUACAUUUUUUAAAUUUUAUUUGAACAGGACAAAGUGUUACGUUCAACACCAGAGGUUAAAUUAUAGUUAAAUUAUAAACAUUUUGAACAAUACAGUAAAUCACUUUUGACAAUUUUAUUUACAAAACGAGUUUCAGUUACUUUUGUGCCACUUAA